rnacentral:tRNA from 1 species
UAGCUCAGAUGGUAAAGCAUCUGCCUGCAAUGCAGGAGACCUGGGUUUGAUCCCUG